UGGAGCGUGGCUGAGCUGGUUGAAGGUACCGGUCUCGAAAACCGGCAACGAGGAAACUCGUUCGAGGUCGAACCCCUCCGCUUCCG
rnacentral:tRNA from 1 species